CCGGGGAGAAAGACGGUUGCUGAGAUAACCUGUGUCUUGCUAUUAGCUUGUAUUUAUACUUUUAUCUUUUCUUAUCUUUUAUAUCCUUUAUUUAUUUUUCUUUACUCUUAUCUUAUGGAAAACCAAAAUUCUAAAUCGAUCCAUGAGUCUGCAAUCCCUUUAGCAACCGACCUUUUACCAUGGGAAUCAUCACAGCCUAUCCAAACAUCCC
rnacentral:lncRNA from 1 species